rnacentral:ncRNA from 1 species
CAUUCGAGCCGGGCCCCUCUCGCACGCAAGGCGUUGCCUGCGAUGUCGGUUCGCAAUG